UACGGAGGGUGCAAGCGUUGUUCGGAAUUACUGGGCGUAAAGCGCACGUAGGCGGAUCUGUAAGUCAAUUGUGAAAGCCCCGGACUCAACCCGGGAAUUGCAGUUGAAACUACAGACCUUGAAUACCUGAGAGGGUGACGGAAUUCCUGGAGUAGAAGUGAAAUUCGUAGAUAUCAGGAGGAACACCGGAGGCGAAGGCGGUUGCCUGGCAGUGUAUUGACGCUGAGGUGCGAAAGCGUGGGGAGCAAAC
rnacentral:rRNA from 1 species